GCUCGAGUGGCGAACGGGUGAGUAACACGUGAGUAACCUGCCCUUGACUUUGGGAUAACUUCAGGAAACUGGGGCUAAUACCGGAUAGGAGCUCCUGCUGCAUGGUGGGGGUUGGAAAGUUUCGGCGGUUGGGGAUGGACUCGCGGCUUAUCAGCUUGUUGGUGGGGUAAUGGCUUACCAAGGCUUUGACGGGUAGCCGGCCUGAGAGGGUGACCGGCCACAUUGGGACUGAGAUACGGCCCAG
rnacentral:rRNA from 1 species